rnacentral:rRNA from 1 species
AUUGAACGCUGGCGGCAGGCCUAACACAUGCAAGUCGAACGAGUGGCGGACGGGUGAGUAAUGUCUGGGAAACUGCCCGAUGGAGGGGGAUAACUACUGGAAACGGUAGCUAAUACCGCAUACCAUCGGAUGUGCCCAGAUGGGAUUGGCUUGUAGGUGGGGUAAAGGCUCACCUGGGCGACGAUCCCUAGCUGGUCUGAGAGGAUGACCGGCCAAACUGGAACGGAAACACGGCCCAAACUCCUACGGUAGGCGGCAGUGGGGAAUAGUGGAAAAUGGGGGCAAGCCUGAGGCGGCCAUGCCGCGUGUAUGAAGAAGGCCUUCGGGUUGUAAAGUACUUUCAGCGGGGAGGCGUUACCCGCAGAAGAAGCACCGGCUAACUCCGUGCCAGCAGCCGCGGUAAUAC